CCCCUUUGGCAUGGCUGCCCUGUGGGCCCUGCUCCUGCUACUCUCUGUGAGUGUCUUGUUUUGAGUGCACAGUACAAUCAGAGCUAAUCUGGAUUACAGUGGGGGAAAAAAUAUGUUGGAAACUCAAGACUUGAGGAAUGAGCAAAGCUUCUUCCCUGAGAUUGCAUCACUGUGGAGAAAAGAGGGCAAUUAAAACAGUGGAAGAUACUCUCCUAAUGAAAUGGGAAAGGCACAAACCAAUAAUUAAUACAAAUAGUAUUGUGGUUCCUGAUUAAAGAGCAUGCAAUAAUUGAUAAUGGAGCAUGCAAAUAUUAUUUCCCACCAAUAGGUGCCAGUAUAAGCUAAUUAAG
rnacentral:lncRNA from 1 species